UACGUAGGUGGCAAGCGUUGUCCGGAUUUAUUGGGUUUAAAGGGUGCGUAGGCGGUCUUAUAAGUCAGUGCUGAAAUAUCCCGGCUUAACCGGGAGGGUGGCAUUGAUACUGUAGGACUUGAGUAAAGUUGAGGUUGGCGGAAUUGACGGUGUAGCGGUGAAAUGCUUAGGUAUCGUCAAGAACACCUAUAGCGAAGGCAGCUAACUAAACUUUAACUGACGCUGAGGCACGAAAGUGUGGGGAUCAAACAGG
rnacentral:rRNA from 1 species